rnacentral:rRNA from 1 species
UACGGAGGGAGCUAGCGUUGUUCGGAAUUACUGGGCGUAAAGCGCACGUAGGCGGCUUCUUAAGUCGGUGGUGAAAUCCUGGAGCUCAACUCCAGAACUGCCUUCGAUACUGGGAAGCUCGAGUCCGGGAGAGGUGAGUGGAACUGCGAGUGUAGAGGUGAAAUUCGUAGAUAUUCGCAAGAACACCAGUGGCGAAGGCGGUUGCCUGGAGCUUUGCUGACGCUGAUGGCGCGAAAGCGGUGGGGAGCGAGUCCGGA